rnacentral:rRNA from 1 species
UACGUAGGGGGCAAGCGUUGUCCGGAAUCAUUGGGCGUAAAGCGCGUGUAGGCGGCUCGAUAAGUCUGCUGUGAAAGUCCAGGGCUCAACCCUGGGAUGCCGGUGGAUACUGUCGAGCUCGAGUCCGGAAGAGGAGAGUGGAAUUCCUGGUGUAGCGGUGAAAUGCGCAGAUAUCAGGAAGAACACCCGUGGCGAAGGCGGCUCUCUGGGACGGUACUGACGGCUGAGACGCGAAAGCGUGGGGAGCGAACAGG